rnacentral:piRNA from 1 species
UNUACUUCGGGCCUAUGCCUCUGCACAUACCC